GAUGAACGCUGGCGGCGUGCCUAAUACAUGCAAGUCGAGCGAACAGACGAGGAGCUUGCUCCUUUGAUGUUAGCGGCGGACGGGUGAGUAACACGUAGGUAACCUACCUAUAAGACUGGGAUAACUUCGGGAAACCGGAGCUAAUACCGGAUAAUAUUUCGAACCGCAUGGUUCGAUAGUGAAAGAUGGCUUUGCUAUCACUUAUAGAUGGACCUGCGCCGUAUUAGCUAGUUGGUAAGGUAACGGCUUACCAAGGCAACGAUACGUAGCCGACCUGAGAGGGUGAUCGGCCACACUGGAACUGAGACAAGGUCCAGACUCCUACGGGAGGCAGCAGUAGGGAAUCUUCCGCAAUGGGCGAAAGCCUGACGGAGCAACGCCGCGUGAGUGAUGAAGGUCUUCGGAUCGUAAAACUCUGUUAUUAGGGAAGAACAAACGUGUAAGUAACUGUGCACGUCUUGACGGUACCUAAUCAGAAAGCCACGGCUAACUACGUG
rnacentral:rRNA from 1 species